rnacentral:rRNA from 1 species
AUACGUAGGGGGCGAGCGUUGUCCGGAUUUACUGGGCGUAAAGGGUGAGUAGGCGGUUAUAUGUGUCAGAUGUAAAAGGCUAUGGCUUAACCAUAGUUAGCAUUUGAAACUGUAUGACUUGAGUGCAGGAGAGGUAAGUGGAAUUCCUAGUGUAGCGGUGAAAUGCGUAGAUAUUAGGAGGAACACCAGUGGCGAAGGCGACUUACUGGACUGUAACUGACGCUGAGUCACGAAAGCGUGGGUAGCAAACAGGAUUAGAUACCCUGGUAGUCCACGCUGUAAACGAUGAGUGCUAGGUGUUGGCCAGCGAUGGUCAGUGCCGCAGUAAACACAUUAAGCACUCCGCCUGGGGAGUACGGUCGCAAGACUGAAACUCAAAGGAAUUGGCGGGG